UACGAAGGGGCUAGCGUUGUUCGGAAUUAGCGUGGGCGUAAGCGUGCGCAGGCGGUGAUGAUAAGACAGAUGUGAAAUCCCCGGGCUCACCUGGGAAUGCAUUUGUGGCUGCAUCGCUGGAGUACGGCAGAGGGGGAUGGAAUUCCGCGGUGUAAGCAGUGAAAUGCGUAGAUAUGCGGAGGAACACCGAUGGCGAAGGCAUCCCCUGGGCCUGUGAC
rnacentral:rRNA from 1 species